AGCCAUGGGCAGGUUGAAGGUUGGGUAACACUAACUGGAGGACCGAACCGACUAAUGUUGAAAAAUUAGCGGAUGACCUGUGGCUGGGGGUGAAAGGCCAAUCAAACCGGGAGAUAGCUGGUUCUCCCCGAAAGCUAUUUAGGUAGCGCCUCGUGAAUUCAUCUCCGGGGGUAGAGCACUGUUUCGGCUAGGGGGCCAUCCCGGCUUACCAACCCGAUGCAAACUGCGAAUACCGGAGAAUGUUAUCACGGGAGACACACGGCGGGUGCUAACGUCCGUCGUGAAGAGGGAAACAACCCAGACCGCCAGCUAAGGUCCCAAAGUCAUGGUUAAGUGGGAAACGAUGUGGGAAGGCCCAGACAGCCAGGAUGUUGGCUUAGAAGCAGCCAUCAUUUAAAGAAAGCGUAAUAGCUCACUGGUCGAGUCGGCCUGCGCGGAAGAUGUAACGGGGCUAAACCAUGCACCGAAGCUGCGGCAGCGACACUGUGUGUUGUUGGGUAGGGGAGCGUUCUGUAAGCCUGUGAAGGUGUGUCGUGAGGCAUGCUGGAGGUAUCAGAAGUGCGAAUGCUGACAUAAGUAACGAUAAAGCGGGUGAAAAGCCCGCUCGCCGGAAGACCAAGGGUUCCUGUCCAACGUUAAUCGGGGCAGGGUGAGUCGACCCCUAAGGCGAGGCCGAAAGGCGUAGUCGAUGGGAAACGGGUUAAUAUUCCCGUACUUGGUGUUACUGCGAAGGGGGGACGGAGAAGGCUAUGUUGGCCGGGCGACGGUUGUCCCGGUUUAAGCGUGUAGGUGUGUGUUCCAGGUAAAUCCGGUUCACUUUAACACUGAGGCGUGACGACGAGGCACUACGGUGCUGAAGCAACAAAUGCCCUGCUUCCAGGAAAAGCCUCUAAGCAUCAGGUAACAUCAAAUCGUACCCCAAACCGACACAGGUGGUCAGGUAGAGAAUACCAAGGCGCUUGAGAGAACUCGGGUGAAGGAACUAGGCAAAAUGGUGCCGUAACUUCGGGAGAAGGCACGCUGACACGUAGGUGAAGUGAUUUACUCAUGGAGCUGAAGUCAGUCGAAGAUACCAGCUGGCUGCAACUGUUUAUUAAAAACACAGCACUGUGCAAACACGAAAGUGGACGUAUACGGUGUGACGCCUGCCCGGUGCCGGAAGGUUAAUUGAUGGGGUCAGCGCAAGCGAAGCUCCUGAUCGAAGCCCCGGUAAACGGCGGCCGUAACUAUAACGGUCCUAAGGUAGCGAAAUUCCUUGUCGGGUAAGUUCCGACCUGCACGAAUGGCGUAAUGAUGGCCAGGCUGUCUCCACCCGAGACUCAGUGAAAUUGAACUCGCUGUGAAGAUGCAGUGUACCCGCGGCAAGACGGAAAGACCCCGUGAACCUUUACUAUAGCUUGACACUGAACAUUGAGCCUUGAUGUGUAGGAUAGGUGGGAGGCUUUGAAGUGUGGACGCCAGUCUGCAUGGAGCCGACCUUGAAAUACCACCCUUUAAUGUUUGAUGUUCUAACGUGGACCCGUUACCCGGGUUGCGGACAGUGUCUGGUGGGUAGUUUGACUGGGGCGGUCUCCUCCUAAAGAGUAACGGAGGAGCACGAAGGUUGGCUAAUCCUGGUCGGACAUCAGGAGGUUAGUGCAAUGGCAUAAGCCAGCUUGACUGCGAGCGUGACGGCGCGAGCAGGUGCGAAAGCAGGUCAUAGUGAUCCGGUGGUUCUGAAUGGAAGGGCCAUCGCUCAACGGAUAAAAGGUACUCCGGGGAUAACAGGCUGAUACCGCCCAAGAGUUCAUAUCGACGGCGGUGUUUGGCACCUCGAUGUCGGCUCAUCACAUCCUGGGGCUGAAGUAGGUCCCAAGGGUAUGGCUGUUCGCCAUUUAAAGUGGUACGCGAGCUGGGUUUAGAACGUCGUGAGACAGUUCGGUCCCUAUCUGCCGUGGGCGCUGGAGAACUGAGGGGGGCUGCUCCUAGUACGAGAGGACCGGAGUGGACGCAUCACUGGUGUUCGGGUUGUCAUGCCAAUGGCACUGCCCGGUAGCUAAAUGCGGAAGAGAUAAGUGCUGAAAGCAUCUAAGCACGAAACUUGCCCCGAGAUGAGUUCUCCCUGAGACUUAGAGUCUCCUGAAGGAA
rnacentral:rRNA from 1 species